rnacentral:tRNA from 1 species
UGGGGCAUAGCUCAGAGGAAGAGCACUUGCCUAGCAUGCAAAAAGCUCUAGGUUUGAGCUCUGGUACUGUAA